GCAUGCGACUGAUUGGUGGUCGGCCUAAUUAAACCUCUAACCACCAAAUGAUGGCUUGGGAACCGCAUAUAUAAUUCACAAACUCGCGGUUGUCCAGAGGCCACAAUCAAACUAGUCGGGCCGGAGAACUUUCCGCGGCCUAAAGCUAAACCAGGGCCCUCUUCCAGUCCUGCCCAAAUUGGCCUUAUAAUAUUUGCAAUGGAUUUUCCCCUUGGGCUUCGU
rnacentral:lncRNA from 1 species